rnacentral:rRNA from 1 species
AGGAUUCCCACCGCAAGGGUAAGACCCCAGAAAGACUAUCUGGUUGAUAGGUCGAAGGUGUAAGUGCAGCAAUGUAUUUAGCUUAUCGAUACUAAUAGGUCGAGGACUUGACCAAUAUUUAUU